rnacentral:rRNA from 1 species
CACGUAGGGGGCAAGCGUUGUCCGGAUUUAUUGGGCGUAAAGAGCUCGUAGGCGGUUCGGUAAGUCGGGUGUGAAACCUCCAGGCUCAACCUGGAGAUGCCACCUGAUACUGCUGUGACUCGAGUCCGGUAGGGGAGCGUGGAAUUCCUGGUGUAGCGGUGAAAUGCGCAGAUAUCAGGAAGAACACCCGUGGCGAAAGCGCUCAUCUGGCCCAAUACUGACGCUGAAGCACGAAAGCUAGGGGAGCAAACGGG